CCUACGGGUGGCAGCAGUGGGGAAUAUUGCACAAUGGGGGGAACCCUGAUGCAGCGACGCCGCGUGAGUGAAGAAGUAUUUCGGUAUGUAAAGCUCUGUCAGCAGGGAAGAAGAAAGACGGUACCUGACCAAGAAGCCCCGGCUAACUACGUGCCAGCAGCCGCGGUAAUACGUAGGGGGCAAGCGUUAUCCGGAUUUACUGGGUGUAAAGGGAGCGUAGACGGCAGGGCAAGUCUGGAGUGAAAGGCAGGGGCCCAACCCCUGGACUGCUCUGGAAACUGUCCGGCUGGAGUGCAGGAGAGGUAAGUGGAAUUCCUAGUGUAGCGGUGAAAUGCGUAGAUAUUAGGAGGAACACCAGUGGCGAAGGCGGCUUACUGGACUGUAACUGACGUUGAGGCUCGAAAGCGUGGGGAGCAAACAGGAUUAGAUACCCUUGUAGUC
rnacentral:rRNA from 1 species